rfam:Camelus ferus unplaced genomic scaffold scaffold390, whole genome shotgun sequence.
GAGGGUAUAGCUUAGUGGUAGAGUGAGUGGCUGGCAUGCACAAGGUCCUGGGUUCAAUCCCCAGCACCUCCA